AGAGUUUGAUCCUGGCUCAGGACGAACGCUGGCGGCGUGCUUAACACAUGCAAGUCGAACGAUGAACCGCUUUCGGGCGGGGACUAGUGGCGAACGGGUGAGUAACACGUGGGCAAUCUGCCCUGCACUCUGGGACAAGCCCUGGAAACGGGGUCUAAUACCGGAUAUGACUGUCCAUCGCAUGGUGGAUGGUGUAAAGCUCCGGCGGUGCAGGAUGAGCCCGCGGCCUAUCAGCUUGUUGGUGAGGUAGUGGCUCACCAAGGCGACGACGGGUAGCCGGCCUGAGAGGGCGACCGGCCACACUGGGACUGAGACACGGCCCAGACUCCUACGGGAGGCAGCAGUGGGGAAUAUUGCACAAUGGGCGAAAGCCUGAUGCAGCGACGCCGCGUGAGGGAUGACGGCCUUCGGGUUGUAAACCUCUUUCAGCAGGGAAGAAGCGAAAGUGACGGUACCUGCAGAAGAAGCGCCGGCUAACUACGUGCCAGCAGCCGCGGUAAUACGUAGGGCGCAAGCGUUGUCCGGAAUUAUUGGGCGUAAAGAGCUCGUAGGCGGCUUGGUCACGUC
rnacentral:rRNA from 1 species